GACGAACGCUGGCGGCGUGCCUAAUACAUGCAAGUCGAACGCAGGGGGGACGGGUGAGUAACACGUGGGUAACCUCCCAUCAGAGGGGAUACCACUUGGAAACAGGUGCUAAACCGAUACUGAUGGAUGGUGCCGGGGGGGAUUAGCUAGUCGGUGGGGUAACGGCUCACCAAGGCCACGAUGCAUAGCCGGCCUGAGAGGGUGAUCGGCCACACUGGGACUGAGACACGGCCCAGACUCCUACGGGAGGCAGCAGUAGGGAAUCUUCGGCAAUGGACGAAAGUCUGACCCAGCCACGCCGCGUGAGUGAAGAAGGUUUUCGGAUCGUAAAACUCUGUUGGUAGAGAAGCGGUAUCUAACCAGAAAGCCACGGCUAACUACGUGCCAGCAGCCGCGGUAAUAC
rnacentral:rRNA from 1 species